CUUGUCCUUGCGUCGAUUCAUUCUCUCUUCUCUCUUUGAUGAUUACGCCGUUCUUCUUUCACAUUUCGUCUUCCACAUCUUCGAUUACUCUUCUCUCCAAAUCCGUUUCAUCUCAUACUUUCACCACUAACUACUCUAAUCAGACCUUGCUUGAACUCAUUCAAUGGAUCCUUUUCACAUUUCUCUCCGUUUGUCUAUUAAUAGAUCUAUUUCCUUAGCUUAUGUCUAGAUUAAUAUUGAAAAGCUUCUCUCAGACAAUCAUCCCGAUGGAACCCAAAAGAAACGCUUCAAUCUCCAGCGACCACAAGACCAACAAGAAGACCGUCGCCUCCUCCGCAACUGCGAAACCAAACGGGAAGUCCACCGCUUCUGUUCCCUGAGACGGUGAAGAAAACGAUCUCGACUCUCUUCUUCUGCGGCGACUACGAUUCGGUGGCACAUUAUUUUCAAUCGCCCAUGAUGAGGUCAUUCAGACAAUCCCACGACCUUCUGUUCAAUUUAUCUUCACCGUCUUCUAAAGCACAAGGGACACAGUUUUGUUAUAAGGUCAUCACACAAAUACUCUUUUGUUAGUCGAGAUACAAAACAGAAGCCAGAAUCAUAAUUAAGUCAAAUCAACAAGGAACCCAACAUCAACCCUCUGCAUACGUUCAUGAUGACAACAAGAAACUACUCUUCAAUUGGCUCCAUACACUCCGAUCUGAAGAAAAAAAAAUCAUUGAUGAGGUCAUGGAGAUAAAUGAUCAGACUGUUAAAUCUCACAAUAUGGAUGAAGAAGAAGAAGUUUCCAUUGAAGAUGUACCGGAUGUAAAAGAGGAGAGCGCUGUGCUUGAGUUUCGCCUUAACCUUCUCCAAAUGAUUCAUUGAUUUAAGUUAUUGGUCGUCCCAUCCUCUUAUGACCACUCAUAUGAUAAGUAUAAAAGUUGAACUGUUGUGUUCCUUAGAAAAGGACUAUACAUGCAUCUUUACUCCAUGUUUUAUAACGGUGUCCUCAAACGUUGUAAUCUGGCGGGUUUCAUCUGAACCUCUGUUCGAUUCUUGGAUCUGACAUCUGAUCUUUUGUCGCUUUCCAUGAGUAGAAGAUGUUGCAGAUGCGUACAAAGCCAUCGAGUUGGAGCUUACAUUGGCAAUAGCGUAUUUCAGCAAUGGGAAGAGGCUAUCAAGCUACAUGACCCGAAAAGGAGGUUGGAUUGCUCAAGGGUUCUUCAAUGAGUGAGAUUUCUGAGCUCAAGAAGCAAACAAAGAUAUCGUAUGAGAGUCAGCUUAACCGCAUCACAGAUAUGCUUGAGACAUAGCUGAAAGAAACGGCAAAGAAGAUGGAGCGGAAUACUUGAAAAGCGGAAGAGAGCAUAUGAAGUUCUGAAAUGGUCAAGCGAUGAGAUUAAGAAGCUGAGAAAAAAAAUUGGAGAGGGCGAAAAUAGACAAAAGGAGCUGCA